rnacentral:rRNA from 1 species
GUGAGGAAUAUUGGUCAAUGGGCGAGAGCCUGAACCAGCCAAGUCGCGUGAAGGAAGAAGGAUCUAUGGUUCGUAAACUUCUUUUGCAGGGGAAUAAAGUGCAGGACGUGUCCUGUUUUGUAUGUACCCUGAGAAUAAGGAUCGGCUAACUCCGUGCCAGCAGCCGCGGUAAUACGGAGGAUCCGAGCGUUAUCCGGAUUUAUUGGGUUUAAAGGGUGCGUAGGUGGUUUGAUAAGUCAGCGGUGAAAGUUUGCAGCUUAACUGUAAAAAUGCCGUUGAAACUGUCGGACUUGAGUGUAAAUGAGGUAGGCGGAAUGCGUGGUGUAGCGGUGAAAUGCAUAGAUAUCACGCAGAACUCCGAUUGCGAAGGCAGCUUACUAAGCUACAACUGACACUGAAGCACGAAAGCGUGGGGAUCAAACAGGAUUAGAUACCCGUGGUAGUCC